UUUAUAUUUUUUGCAGGGCUGAGCAUGGAACCCAGGACCUCACGCACACGCCAUAUGUGCUUUGAACUACACCCCAGCCCCAAGAUGCUGGAUGUCUGCUCAGAAAGGCAUUUAUUUAUGUUCAAACAGCAAAACUAAAGCAGGAGUCUGACUAAAGGCGCUGCCUGUAGAUGUGCCGAACAUUGUAAAUAAAUAAUGAAGGGCACCACAGUUAAUCUCCACGUCCCAGUCACUGGAGAAAUGUUCACCGAAACACAGCAAAAUGCUCGCACAGAUGGUCUCGACCUGUGGUGGGCUUCUGCCCGGAUGAUACCACCAUGACCUCAUGCCGCAGGUUGAAAUGUUUACUACACUGGGGAGGUCUCCGCUCUGCCACUCGGCAAACUGUUGAGUCCUGCCUGUGUCCUCUCAUGAUGGUAGGGCUGUCUGGGAGCUGCUGGUGACUGAAUUGUCCAGCAUUGAUAGACAGGACGAGGCCAUAUAGCAUCAGACUGGGAGAAAGAUCCACAUUCAAAGCUGAAAGUAUGGAUUCUCCUGAAGGCAAAUCAUCUUCACACCACUGCCAAGUUGAAAUGCUGCGCAUUAAACUAUCCAAAAUCCAGAACACUUGGGGCCCACCACCACAGGCUGUGAACCCCGAUUUCCUGCCGGAAUGAGCUACUUCUUUAAGCUUCUGUGUUUUCAUCUGCAAAAUGAGAGUAGUUUUUUUCCCACCAGGUUGCUGACAGAGCACUUGGCAUGGUGCACUCGGUAAAUGCUGGAUCGGGGGACCUUCUUCCUGUUCCCUGCUCCGUAAUCCCAGACUCAGAGCAGGGGAACGAACCUACCCAGACCUAUGUGCCAGGUGCGGAUCCUGGCUCUGGGGGCUUGGGUCUCAGUCAAGUUAGUCUCAGGGGUUUAGAAAGGGCUCCAGACUCUCUUCUCCAAGAUAGAAUUUCACCUGCAGCGAAGAGCCUGCGGUCCACUGUGUCCGGGUGCCCAGCACUGUCCCUCCUCCACGAGGAGCCCUUUCAGUGGCUUUCCAGAAGCCCCAAGAGCAGAGCCUGAGGUGCAGGAGGGUGCCCUGAGCUCCAGCAGCUGCGCCCAGGCCCAGGGAUCUGGGAGCCACCCACGGAAGUCCUGCAGGUUGCCAAGGCUGCGCUGGAAACCCUCCCACGCGGAAGCUGCCUGCCCAGUGCCUCUUUUGGAGCUGAGAGGCUGGAGCCAAAUGGCACAGAAGGGAUCCAGGCUGCGGGCUGCCAGACCCACCUGAGCGUGCCCAGCUUCGGCCACGCUGCCAGUCCACAGCCUGCAGGGGCCUCCGUCUACCUCGGUCUCCCUCCUCUUCCUCUCUACCCCUUCCUUUCUUUUCUCCCUCUAGCUUUCCUCCUUCUGUUCUUCUUCCCUCUUCCACUCUUUUCUUCUCUGCUACCGUCCUUCUCUGCUUUCCUGGCCUCCCCCAAGGUAGCUGAACUCUAUAUGGAGACUUUCUGUAUGGCGAUAUCUGCGAGAAUCCACUCAGGCUUCUCUCGCUUGCUCUUACAGCCCCGCCCCCAUGAGCAUGUAGCCCCGCCCAUGACCAAGCCACGCCCAUGCCACGCAUCCUCAUUUGUGCGCAUAAGCCCCGCCCCAUGCGCGUGCAGCCCCGCCCAAGGCCACGAAGCCACGCCCAUCCAGCCCUGCUCACAGCCACGCCCCCACGCUCGCACCGGCCCGGAGUCUGCAGAGGCAUCCUGGUGGCUGCGCAGCGGCCCAGUCGCCUGGAAAGGGCUGACAGCCUCCGCAGCCCUGGUCGGGCAGAGCAAGUCCCCGGCCAGCUGGCGCGGAGAUGGGCCCCAGCCAGGCAUGGCAGACACUGGCUGCUGGCUCCAGGUCGCUGCCUCUCCCUCUGCGUGGACACCGAGGGCUUUGGAUUUGCCCAGGAUUCAUGCAUCCACCUGGCCCAGCCUCCAGGAAAGACCAUGUCAGGGCUCUGGUUCCCCUUGGCCUUGGGCCCAAGGCUUCCCUUAGAUCUGAGGAAUGGCUUUCUGGUUCCACCGGGGACUGAGUCUGUCUGCAGGAAACACUGGACAGGUCACAAACAGGAUCCUCUGAUGCCACUGUCUUCCGUCCUCACACAGCUCCCAUGAGGAGCUGUAGACUCCAUGUCCCACAUAAAAGUGACCUGAGGACGAUAGAGCCAGGGCUGAACUUCAGGAAGGUGGUGAAGGACAGCACAAGGCCGCCUGUGACCCUGCAGCUGGGAGGGACACUGGAGCCAUGUUGGAGCUAGAGAAAGCCUUUGUGUGGCUGCAGUGGGCUCUGCGUGGCCUGGCACUGCGGGGUGGAUCGCGGAAGGAUAACAGCAGCACCAACAGCAACAGCGGCACCUCGCCCGAUCUCAUGCUCUCUCCAAGCAUCUCGAAGGGUGGUCCCCUGUUUUUUCACACUCUCAGAUGAGGAAACUGAGGCACAGAAGGGCUAGUGGGGACAUGUGAAUUGCAAUUUGGUUUUGACCAAGAUUUUAAUCUUUGUGCCGAACUAAAAAUGAUGACCUUUCACCCAGAAGGAAACCAACAGGGUCACAGGACAGGUCUCUGGCACAGCAUGGCAAGGUUGUCAGGGGCAGUAACUGACCCACUCCUGAGCUAGUUCCUCCUCUAGGUCUGGGGGUGGGUGGGGGCUUUGGUCCAGCAACCAGAGCCGGCCCAGAGCCUGGCACUCAGGAGCUGGUGAGUGCAUUUGGAGCCAACCCUCCUUGUGGUGAUUUUGGGAGUGUCUAGGAGGUGUGGUGGGAGCAUAGUGAACGGUGGUCAUGAACAUGUCACAGUGUGUCCUCAUCCAGCUCAUUUCUUAGCUCUGGUGCUGCGUGCCUGCUGGCUCUUCCUCCAAGUCAAAAGGAGCACCCCUUAACACAUGGGACACGAGAGGAUUUCCGGAACUGCUGCAGGAGGUGGCCGGAAGGAUGGGAUAAGAAUGUUCACAGUUAGCGGGAGCAUUUUGAGGGGGGUUAAUUACAAUGUGCAAUGUUACGACUACUGUAACAAUUUAAAAAAAUUUAAAAAUGUUCACCAUAGAUGUUGGCCACGUGGUGCAGGAGCAUGAUGCUGGCCCCGGGCUGGAUGGACAGGGGUCCAUGGGGCUCCCUGGGCCCCAGAGCCCCCUGCCCCAGGCUGUACUUGAAGGCUCCAUGAUGGCAAAGGUUCUGCGGAGCUUGACUUUGUAUUGCCAGCAGUGAACUUUGCUCAAAAGUGCUACGUCGGCAGAAAGAGGAUCGUGAACAGGCUUUCAUGCGCUAUUUCAGGAUUGCUGGCCCUGAACAUCUAUCACUUACUGAUGCGUAUAAUUUGCCUGAUGACUCAGUUUCAUAUAUUUGAGUUUCCAAAGAUAAACAGUUUUUGCAUAUUUCCCACAAAUAGUGUUAUAUUUAAUAAUCUUGGGGUAGGAGGGCUGGAGGCAGGGGAGAGGAAAGUAGAGGGGUGCAGGGGGCUCCAUCCAGGAAGCCAGGCACAGUGCACUGGGAUCUGGGCGCAAGCUUAGGAGGGGGCUUCAGCCUGUAGGACCUUGGGUGGCCCAGGGUGGGCUGAUGUGGGGCGCGGUGAAGAGCGUCACCACACAGGCUGAACCUAGUCUGGGGCAGCCUCAGUUCAGCCCUGGCCACAGGGAGGUCAUGCUAAGAGCAGGGACACAUUUCCACAGGCUUCGCCUUGAGGACACAGCCCGUGUCAGCACCCACGGAGUCAGUGUGGAAGCUCAAGGAGAUGAUCGUGUCAAUAGCACAGGCAGAUGCGGGCUCUGGGUUUAGGUGUGGUUUGGACAGAGUCCAGUCUUUGUGAUUCUCACUGGUAGCAUUGACCUCACCGGUUUCUCUGAGGCUGGGAGGAUACAGUCCCCGAGACAACCCCUGGCACUCGGGAUGUGCUUGGUGAAUGCGUCUCCCCUCUGAAAUAGAUGUUCUUGGGAUGAUUAAACACAUGUGUUACAGAUGUCUAGUCUGAGUGUCUACCACUGUCAGGGAAGCCAGGUGUCAUGCCUGGAGUCACUGAGGACCCAUCAUGGUACCCAAUGGGACCCCUGCAUGUGUGACAAGUGAUGGAAACCAGUUCAAACGGCCCGAUCAGAUUCUUUGCAACUAACAGGACCGAGGUACCUGGCUUCUGCCACAAAGAGACAAUGUGGGUACCUGGCCUUGUGCUGG